rnacentral:rRNA from 1 species
UUACUUCGGUACAUCGGUGACAGGUGGUGCAUGGUUGUCGUCAGCUCGUGUCGUGAGAUGUUGGUUAAGUCCCGCAACGAGCGCAACCCCUAUUGUUAGUUGCCAUCAUUCAGUUGGGCACUCUAGCGAGACUGCCGGUAAUAAACCGGAGGAAGGUGGGAUGACGUCAAAUCAUCAUGCCCCUUAUGACCUGGGCUACACACGUGCUACAAUGGUUGGUACAACGAGUUGCGAGUCGGUGACGGCGAGCUAAUCUCUUAAAGCCAAUCUCAGUUCGGAUUGUAGGCUGCAACUCGCCUACAUGAAGUCGGAAUCGCUAGUAAUCGCGGAUCAGCACGCCGCGGUGAAUACGUUCCCGGGCCUU